AUUGAACGCUGGCGGCAGGCCUAACACAUGCAAGUCGAGCGAGAGGCGGCCGGGUGAGUAAUGUAUGGGGACUGCCCGAUAGCGGGGGAUAACUACUGGAAACGGUGGCUAAUACCGCAUACACUCGGAGAACGCAUAUGGGAUUAGCUAGUAGGUGAGGGAAUGGCGCACAUCGGGGACGAUCCCUAGCUGGUCUGAGAGGAUGAUAAACCGCACUGGGACUGUGACACGGCCCAGACUCCUACGGAGGCAGCAGUGGGGAAUAGUGCACAAUGGGCGCAAGCCUGAUGCAGCAAUGCCGCGUGUAUGAAGAAGGCCCUAGGGUUGUAAAGUUCGUUCAGUCGGGAUGCGUUACCGACAGAAGAAGCACCGGCUAACUCCGUGCCAGCAGCCGCGGUAAUAC
rnacentral:rRNA from 1 species